GAUGAACGCUGGCGGCGUGCCUAACACAUGCAAGUCGAGCGGUAUAUACUUAAACAAAUCUUCGGAAGAGUGAGAGUAUAGAGAGCGGCGGACGGGUGAGUAACGCGUAGGCAACCUGCCCCAUACAGAGGGAUAGCCUCGGGAAACCGGGAUUAAAACCUCAUAACGCGAGAGAGUCACAUGGCUUUUUCGCCAAAGAUUUAUCGGUGUGGGAUGGGCCUGCGUCUGAUUAGCUAGUUGGUGGGGUAACGGCCUACCAAGGCAACGAUCAGUAGCCGACCUGAGAGGGUAAUCGGCCACAUUGGAACUGAGACACGGUCCAAACUCCUACGGGAGUCAGCAGUGGGAAUAUUGCACAAUGGGCGAAAGCCUGAUGCAGCAACGCCGCGUGAGCGAUGAAGGCCUUUGGGUCGUAAAGCUCUGUCCUUGGGGAAGAAUAAAUGACGGUACCCUUGGAGGAAGCCCCGGCUAACUUCGUGCCAGCAGCCGCCGUAA
rnacentral:rRNA from 1 species